rnacentral:rRNA from 1 species
AUUGAACGCUGGCGGCAUGCCUUACACAUGCAAGUCGAACGGUAACAGGUCUUCGGAUGCCGACGAGUGGCGAACGGGUGAGUAAUACAUCGGAACGUGCCCGAUCGUAGGGGAUAACGAGGCGAAAGCUUUGCUAAUACCGCAUAAGAUCUAUGGAUGAAAGCAGGGGACCGCAAGGCCUUGCGCGAACGGAGCGGCCGAUGGCAGAUUAGGUAGUUGGUGGGGUAAAGGCUUACCAAGACUACGAUCUGUAGCUGGUCUGAGAGGACGACCAGCCACACUGGGACUGAGACACGGACCAGACUCCUACGGGAGGCAGCAGUGGGGAAUUUUGGACAAUGGGCGCAAGCCUGAUCCAGCCAUGCCGCGUGCAGGAUGAAGGCCUUCGGGUUGUAAACUGCUUUUGUACGGAACGAAAAGCCUCUUUCUAAUAAAGGGAGGUCAUGACGGUACCGUAAGAAUAAGCACCGGCUAACUACGUGCCAGCCGCCGCGGUAAGAC